rnacentral:rRNA from 1 species
CGAACGCUGGCGGCGUGCCUAACACAUGCAAGUCGAACGCGAAAGGGGGCAACCCCCGGUAGCGUGGCAGACGGGUGAGUAACGCGUGGGCAACCUGCCCGGAGGUGGGGGAGUAACCCCGUCGAAAGGGGGGCUAAUACCGCAUGACAUCCCGGGGUCCUCGGGCCCUGGGAUCAAAGCUGGCCUCUGUUUACAAGCUAGCGCCACCGGAUGGGCCCGCGUCCCAUUAGCUAGUUGGUGGGUAACGGCCCACCAAGGCUACGAUGGGUAGCCGGCCUGAGAGGGCGACCGGCCACACUGGAACUGAGACACGGUCCAGACUCCUACGGGAGGCAGCAGUGAGGAAUAUUGCGCAAUGGGCGAAAGCCUGACGCAGCGACGCCGCCGUGGAGCAUGAAGGUCUUCGGAUCGUAAACUCCUGUCGAGCGGGACGAAAUCCGGGAGGGUUAAUAUCCCUUCCGGUUGACGGUACCGCUGGAGGAAGCCCCGGCUAACUCCGUGCCAGCCGCUGC